UCCGCGUUAGUAUAGUGGUGAGUAUAUCCGCCUGUCACGCGGAAGACACGGGUUCGAUUCCCGUACGCGGAG
rnacentral:tRNA from 1 species